GCACCGUGAUGUGCGGAAGUCCGAGAAUCGGUAGAAUUUUGAACGCAUUUAGCACCGUGGGGUCUCCCCAAGGUUCGUCUGGAUCAGAGUCUCCUCUUCUUUUCUCCACAACUCGUGCAGUUGUGGGAGAUGGGUGUUAGCUACUUCUCUUGAGAGGUG
rnacentral:rRNA from 1 species